rnacentral:rRNA from 1 species
UGGGGAAUUUUGCACAAUGGGGGAAACCCUGAUGCAGCGACGCCGCGUGAUUUAGAAGGCCUUCGGGUUGUAAAAAUCUUUUCUAUGGGAAGAAAAUGACAGUACCAUAGGAAUAAGGACCGGCUAAUUACGCGCCAGCAGCCGCGGUAAUACGUAAGGGCCGAGCGUUGUCCGGAAUCAUUGGGCGUAAAGGGUACGUAGGCGGGUAAGCAAGUUAGAAGUGAAAUCCUAUAGCUCAACUAUAGUAAGCUUUUAAAACUGCUCAUCUUGAGGUAUGGAAGGGAAAGUGGAAUUCCUAGUGUAGCGGUGAAAUGCGCAGAUAUUAGGAGGAAUACCGGUGGCGAAGGCGACUUUCUGGCCAUAACCUGACGCUGAGGUACGAAAGCGUGGGUAGCAAACAGG